rnacentral:rRNA from 1 species
CCUACGGGAGGCAGCAGUGGGGAAUAUUGCACAAUGGGGGAAACCCUGAUGCAGCGACGCCGCGUGAGUGAAGAAGUAUUUCGUUAUGUAAAGCUCUAUCAGCAGGGAAGAAAAUGACGGUACCUGACUAAGAAGCCCCGGCUAACUACGUGCCAGCAGCCGCGGUAAUACGUAGGGGGCAAGCGUUAUCCGGAUUUACUGGGUGUAAAGGGAGCGUAGACGGCAGUGCAAGUCUGGUGUGAAAGGCGGGGGCUCAACCCCCGGACUGCACUUGAAACUGUACGGCUGGAGUGCAGGAGAGGUAAGUGGAAUUCCUAGUGUAGCGGUGAAAUGCGUAGAUAUUAGGAGGAACACCAGUGGCGAAGGCGGCUUACUGGACUGUAACUGACGUUGAGGCACGAAAGCGUGGGGAGCAAACAGGAUUAGAUACCCCAGUAGUC